rnacentral:rRNA from 1 species
AAAUGAAUAGACGGGGGCCUGCACAAGCGGUGGAGCAUGUGGUUUAAUUCGAUGCAACGCGAAAAACCUUACCUACCCUUGACAUCCUUGGGAGCUCUGAGAGAUUAGAGUGUGCCGAAAGGAACUAAGAGACAGGUGCUGCAUGGCUGUCGUCAGCUCGUGUCGUGAGAUGUUGGGUUAAGUCCCGUAACGAGCGCAACCCUUAUUACUAGUUACCAGCGGGUAAAGCCGGGGACUCUAGUGAGACUGCCAGUGACAAGCUGGAGGAAGGCGGGGAUGACGUCAAGUCCUCAUGGCCCUUAUGGGUAGGGCUACACACGUGCUACAAUGGUUGUUACAGAGGGAAGCGAAGCCGCGAGGUGGAGCGGAACCGAGAAAGGCAAUCGUAGUCCGGAUUGGAGUCUGCAACUCGACUCCAUGAAGAUGGAAUCGCUAGUAAUCGCGGAUCAGCAUGCCGCGGUGAAUACGUUCACAGGCCUUGUACACACCGCCCGU